GACGAACGCUGGCGGCGUGCUUAACACAUGCAAGUCGAACGGUGAAGCGCCUUUCUUUUUGGUGGGUGUGGAUGAGUGGCGAUCGGGUGAGUAACACGUGAGUAACCUGCCCCCUUCUUCCGGAUAACCGCAUGAAAGUGUGGCUAAUACGGGAUAUUCUGGGUCUGUCGCAUGAUGGGUCUGGGACAGAUAUUGUUUCGGUGGGGGAUGGGCUCGCGACCUAGUAGCUUGUUGGUGGGGUGAUGGCCUACCAAGGCGGUGACAGGUAGGCGGCCUGUGAGGGUAGACGGCCAAACUAAGAGUGAAGCGCGGCCAAGAGUACUAGGGGAAGCAGCGGUGGGGAAUAUUGCACGGUGGGCGCAAGCAUGAUGCAGCGACGCCGCGUGGGAGAUGGAGGCCUUCGGGUUGUGAACCUCUUUCGCUAGUGAAGCAGGCCUGCCUAGUUUGUAGGUGGGUUGACGGUAGCUGGAUAAGAAGCGCCGGCUAACUACGUG
rnacentral:rRNA from 1 species